AACGCGAAGAACCUUACCGGGGCUUGACAUCGUACGAAAUCCUACGAAAGUAGGCUUUCUCGCAAGAGAACGUACAGACAGGUGCUGCAUGGCUGUCGUCAGCUCGUGCCGUGAGGUGUUGGGUUAAGUCCCGCAACGAGCGCAACCCUCGCCGUGUGUUGGUCCGCAAGGAUCUCUCACGCGGGACCGCCGAUGAGAAGUCGGAGGAAGGUGGGGAUGACGUCAAGUCAGCAUGGCCCUUACGUCCCGGGCUACACACGUGCUACAAUGGGUAGGACAACGGGCUGCGAGCUAGUGAUAGUAAGCUAAUCCCUUAAACCUACCCUCAGUUCGGAUUGAAGGCUGCAACUCGCCUUCAUGAAGUCGGAAUCGCUAGUAAACGCAGAUCAGCUACGCUGCGUUGAAUACGUUCCCGGGCCUUGUA
rnacentral:rRNA from 2 species